rnacentral:rRNA from 1 species
AUUGAACGCUGGCGGCAGGCCUAACACAUGCAAGUCGAGCGGUAGAGAGAAGCUUGCUUCUCUUGAGAGCGGCGGACGGGUGAGUAAUGCCUAGGAAUCUGCCUAGUGGUGGGGGAUAACGUUCGGAAACGGACGCUAAUACCGCAUACGUCCUACGGGAGAAAGCGGGGGACCUUCGGGCCUCGCGCCAUUAGAUGAGCCUAGGUCGGAUUAGCUAGUUGGUGAGGUAAUGGCUCACCAAGGCUACGAUCCGUAACUGGUCUGAGAGGAUGAUCAGUCACACUGGAACUGAGACACGGUCCAGACUCCUACGGGAGGCAGCAGUGGGGAAUAUUGGACAAUGGGCGAAAGCCUGAUCCAGCCAUGCCGCGUGUGUGAAGAAGGUCUUCGGAUUGUAAAGCACUUUAAGUUGGGAGGAAGGGUAGUAACUUAAUACGUUGCUACUUUGACGUACCG